rnacentral:lncRNA from 1 species
ACAGAAGAAUAUCAAUUGAGUCUGGCAAUGAUUACGGUGCCAUACCUUUGCAUGGGUAGAAUUAGUGUAGUGCGCUAACUCCAUUUUAUAUUGUUAUGUUCAUAUGUUUUUUUAUUAACAUUCAUACACAGAUUAAGGAGGAGCCAUACCUUUGCACGUGUAGAAUUAGUGAAGAUAACGACGAUACCUAUUAUUGAUAUAUGAGCAUCUAUUGUUACUAGGCUUGCAUGUGACCGAGCGUUGCGACGGAAGACAAAUUGACGAGCCUCCAACGGCUCAAGUCCAAGCGACGUGUGGCAUGACUGUAAUGGUGAUGGGAACACUCGUGGGAAACAGUGUCUCGUUGCAGAGGAGCACGAGCCCAAGCACGCCACCACUCAACGCCAUGCGCCAUGAGUUCCAUCAUCUUUUUGUGGGGUUGCCAUUGCCACGAGCUCUAUGUAUAAAAUGGGUUGUUCAGAUCAUAAUAAUCAAAACAAUGGUUCUGUUUUAAUACGUGUAUUGCCUUCUAAAAUUGAC